AAAAAAAUGGAAAUUUUAUGAUGAGAUGGAUCAGGUUUGUGGCAACCGUGCUACAUCAACUCCUGUGUGCUUGAUUGAUUCCAGUAUGACUAAUGACAGUUCAGGUAAAAAUUAUAGUAAUUUCAAUGAUCUUUGAUGCCAAACACAUACAAUCCUGGUUCAAACAUUGUAGCAUACCUAUAGGCUAUCAGCAAAAGUUGUAGUCAUGCAGAGUUGGUUUUCUUUAUAUUUGACAUUAUUAGUCUUCCUGUUGGGGGUGCAAAAUUAUUAUCCAGGAAGCUACAUCUAGAUAUCCUGAUAUUUACCUAAAUAAUCAAGACUCCACAGUGUGGUGCCAUAGUGUGCCAGUUAAUAAUUUUUCCUGGAUAGUACACUGCUCCCGAGGGCAUAGGUGUUGUAAAUUAUAUUUAAUAUUUGGAUACUAAAUUUUGCAAAAAAUAUUUUUAAAAUAUCACAACCAGGGAUUAAAUAUAAUGACACAGAAAACAAAGCCAGCACAAUUUUAGACUUCCUGUACAUUUUAUGUAGUGUUUUGUUUUAAUAGAUUUAGACAGUAAUGAUGAUGACAUAUUUGAUGAACAGAUGAGUAGUAAUACUGGUGAUGACAAUGGAGAUGAGCAAGACAAUGAAGAUGGUGGUUUAGGUUUAACUGCUCAGAUGGAAGAGAAA